AAGUCGUAACAAGGUUUCCGUAGGUGAACCUGCGGAAGGAUCAUUGAAAGGAUCUUUUUUCCGGAGAUGCUGUCCCUGACCCGCGAAGGUAUUUCGCGGGAAGGCGGUGUCUCUCCCGCUUCGGUGUUUCAUCGAAGCGUUGGAACUCGUGAUUUCGCUCCGCGUGAGUGACGAUGCGCCGUCUUUUCGAGACGCAUGUUUUUGUUGGUCAAAAUGCACAGCGUGGAGCAUUUUCGAAAAAAAAAAAAAAUAAAGCCAUCACAACUUUUGACAACGGAUCUCUUGGCUCUC
rnacentral:misc_RNA from 1 species